UACGAAGGGUGCAAGCGUUAAUCGGAAUUACUGGGCGUAAAGCGCGCGUAGGUGGUUCAGUAAGUUGGAAGUGAAAUCCCCGGGCUCAACCUGGGAACUGCUUUCAAAACUGCUGAGCUAGAGUACGGUAGAGGGUGGUGGAAUUUCCUGUGUAGCGGUGAAAUGCGUAGAUAUAGGAAGGAACACCAGUGGCGAAGGCGACCACCUGGACUGAUACUGACGCUCAUGCACGAAAGCGUGGGGAGCAAACAGG
rnacentral:rRNA from 1 species